rnacentral:rRNA from 1 species
UCCUAAGGUAGCGAAAUUCCUUGUCGGGUAAGUUCCGACCUGCACGAAUGGCGUAAUGAUGGCCAGGCUGUCUCCACCCGAGACUCAGUGAAAUUGAACUCGCUGUGAAGAUGCAGUGUACCCGCGGCAAGACGGAAAGACCCCGUGAACCUUUACUAUAGCUUGACACUGAACACUGGUCCUUGAUGUGUAGGAUAGGUGGGAGGCUUUGAAGUGUGGACGCCAGUCUGCAUGGAGCCAUCCUUGAAAUACCACCCUUUAAUGGCUGGUGUUCUAACGUGGGCCCGUGAUCCGGGUUGCGGACAGUGUCUGGUGGGUAGUUUGACUGGGGCGGUCUCCUCCUAAAGAGUAACGGAGGAGCACGAAGGUCAGCUAAUCCUGGUCGGACAUCAGGAGGUUAGUGCAAUGGCAUAAGCUGGCUUGACUGCGAGCGUGACGGCGCGAGCAGGUGCGAAAGCAGGUCAUAGUGAUCCGGUGGUUCUGAAUGGAAGGGCCAUCGCUCAACGGAUAAAAGGUACUCCGGGGAUAACAGGCUGAUACCGCCCAAGAGUUCAUAUCGACGGCGGUGUUUGGCACCUCGAUGUCGGCUCAUCACAUCCUGGGGCUGAAGUAGGUCCCAAGGGUAUGGCUGUUCGCCAUUUAAAGUGGUACGCGAGCUGGGUUUAGAACGUCGUGAGACAGUUCGGUCCCUAUCUGCCGUGGGCGCUGGAGAAUUGAGGGGGGCUGCUCCUAGUACGAGAGGACCGGAGUGGACGCAUCACUGGUGUUCGGGUUGUCAUGCCAAUGGCAUUGCCCGGUAGCUAAAUGCGGAAGAGAUAAGUGCUGAAAGCAUCUAAGCACGAAACUUGCCCCGAGAUGAGUUCUCCCUGACUCCUUGAGAGUCCUGAAGGAACGUUGAAGACGACGACGUUGAUAGGCCGGGUGUGUAAGCGCAGCGAUGCGUUGAGCUAACCGGUACUAAUGAACCGUGAGGCUUAACCUU